rnacentral:misc_RNA from 1 species
GAUGAAGAACGUAGCGAAAUGCGAAAAGUAAUGUGAAUUGCAGAAUUCAGUGAAUCAUCGAAUCUUUGAACGCACAUUGCGCCCGCCAGUAUUCUGGCGGGCAUGCCUGUCUGAGCGUCAUUUCAACCCUCACGCCCCUAGGGCGUGGUGUUGGGGAUCGGCCAAGGCCCGCAAGGGACGGCCGGCCCCUAAAUCUAGUGGCGGACCCAUCGUGGCCUCCCCUGCGAAGUAGUAAUAUAUUCCGCAUCGGAUAGCGAUGAGCCCCUGCCGUUAAACCCCCAACUCUUUCAAGGUUGACCUCAGAUCAGGUAGGAAUACCCGCUGAACUUAAGCAUAUUAAUAAGCGGAGGA